rfam:Schistosoma margrebowiei strain Zambia genome assembly, scaffold: SMRZ_scaffold0000562
AGCCUUCCGAAUCCGUGCAUAGACUUCGUCAGACACCAGAUCAUCAAUACUGAUGAGACUCACAAGACAAGUAAAGCG